rnacentral:lncRNA from 1 species
GUGGAAUGUUGAUAGUGCAGCUCUCGCUGGACUGUUUCAACGAGCUGGGAAUGUUGAAAUGGUUGAGGUAUAAUCUACUCCUUUAAACCUAAUUCGAAACUUCAGAUCUGUUCGUUUUUUUUUUUCUCUAAAUCUGAUUAAUGUAUAUAGGUUGUAUAUGACAAAAUCACCGGAAGAAGCAGGGGUUUCGGGUUUGUGACCAUGUCCUCCGUUAAAGAAGUUGAGGCAGCUACUCGACAGUUCAAUGGUUAUGUAAGUUCCAUAGAUUCACAUUCUUCUAUGAAUUUAGACAAUUUGCAACCUGUUUUUUCCUGUAAUCAUAGUAAGAAUGUAUUGAAAUUUCAGGAACUUGAGGGGAGACAACUUAGGGUAAACUCAGGGCCACCACCAAGUAGAGACGAGUCUCCUUUCAGAGGGUCAAGAGAUGGAGGCCGUGAUGGUGGCCGUGGUGGUGGUGGAUAUGGUGGAGGGAGAAAUCUGGACAACACAAAUAAAGUUUAUGUUGGAAAUCUUGCAUGGAGUGUGGACAAUUUGGCUCUUGAAACUUUGUUUCAAGAACAAGGAAAUGUUAUGGAAGCUAGGGUUGUUUAUGAUAGGGAUAGCGGAAGAUCAAAGGGUUUUGGUUUUGUGACU